AGAGUUUGAUCCUGGCUCAGGAUGAACGCUGGCGGCAUGCUUUAACCACUAUGCAAGUUGUACGGUCUCUGAAAAUUGGGGUAGUAACGAACGGGUGAGUAAUUUGCAAGAAUUGACAUUUAGGAGGUGAACAACAUUUGGAAACGAGUGCUAAUGCGCCAUAAUGCUAUAAAGUUAAAGAUACACAAUAUCGCCCAGAUACAAGCUUGCAACUGAUUAGCUUGUUGGUGAGGUAAUGGCUUACCAAGGCUUUAUCAGUAGCUGGUCUUAGAGGAUGUACAGCCACACUGAAAUGAGAUAUGAAC
rnacentral:rRNA from 1 species